rnacentral:lncRNA from 10 species
GCUGGUGCAGCAGCCGACUUAGGAACCAGAGGAGGUGAAGACACCCAGGAGAUCAGAGCAGGGCUGGGGAGUGAGGAGAGCAGCGCUUAGUGCUUUUGAAUGAUGAAUUCCUGCCCUUAGAGACUUAGUAGGUGGCGUCAUUUCCUCCCGGGUACCCGUCCCCCCAACACCUGCUUUGUCAUUAAAGGACGAUCCACCUCUGCCGAAGAAGAACUUAAAGGACAGGCAUCCCAGCACUGUCCGAAACUCGCCUGGACAAGUCCAACUUCAUUCUUUUCAGUACGACUAGCUCCUGUGCGCUGCAGAAGACUCGGGCUGAUCUGAAAGCGCCUCUCCUAUUCGAGACUCUCAGGUUUUAAGUAGGUCUUCCGCACCUGCAGAUGAAAAAAGAUGUGGCUAUUAUUUUCCUCGAUUACGUUGACAUUGCCUGAAAAUGAAUACAAAACAUUGCCUUGCAAAGAUUUUUUACCUUUUCUUUAUUUCUUUCUUUUUUGUGUGUGUGAUUGUGCAGGGAAAUAAAUGUAUGUCUUUUAUAUUUUUGAGAAAAGUCUAGAGUGACCACAUGUUCACAGCACGCAUUCCCACACUUCUUGUCCACUCAUAAAGCAAUGGAUAAGAGAGACGGAUAUGCACAAAUCUACUAACCCAUCAACAUCAGCCCAAUAAUAAAUGCUCCCAUGAAAACAGUUACAAAGGCCAUCAUAAUUUGUACUCUCAUUAUAAAAUAUUUAGCAGUAUAACUUGAAUUAUAUAGUCAUGGAAGGAAGAAAUCUGUAUUGGAAGAAUUAGGCCCAUUAAUUGUAAAUCAUACAUGUUAUAAGGCUUUUGCAAGCUCUUAAGAAUAAUAAUACAUAAUACAUAGAUAUUUAGCACUUAGGAUUUUUUUUCACCAUCUCUUUUUUUUUUUAAUCGUGAGAAUUGAAAGACGCCACUCAGUCAUUCUGUGACUACAGGAAGUGAUUAUAAAUCAAUGCCACAGUUGCUAACAGACGGCAUUCCUCUCUUUAUACACAUCUGUGUGUCUCCUCACACACAGGCGUACAUGCACACACAUAUGCACACACACACACAAGUGCUUGGCCCACUCAGCCUCCCCAUAAUUUCACAAAAGAGUGACUCUAAUGUUUGCUGCCUCGUGGGGAGCCGGUGGGCACAGCAGUGGAUUGGAUACCUACACCAGAGAAGGCCUGAGAGGCGUAAUCAAAUAAGGGAACCACUUGAACUGAACUCCCAGCAGGAGCGGGAGGGAGGCCUUGAGAGGUUACACGUAGUUUUUAUCCAGCCUUGCAGGAGAGCACCAACUUCCUGCUGCUAGAAAUUUGUCUGCAAAUUUUUUCCUCAUUCAGACAGAGAGCUGGGGUCCAGGAAACACUGGGUUGAUAUGAUAACUUGAUUAAGUCUGGGGACAGAUGACACGGGAGCACCAACUCGACUCAAAGGAACCUGUGCUCUCCUCUUUAACCUCUCCUUGGGAGCCUACAAAUUAUAUCUAUUAAUGCAUCAGCCCCGGGAACUGCACAAAGACAUUGUCUGCCUAAAUGUAUGUCAGUCAUUUGCAGGGGCCUUUGUGGAAUUCCCACCACAUUUUCAUGUCUCUUCGCUAUUUGAAAAAAUAAAAUGUAAACUGAUGGGCUAGACAAAGGCUCACAGUCUACCUCCUCUCGUUAAAAUCGCUUUGAAGGCAGAAGUCAAGUUCAUCAGCAAAAGUGUUCAAGAAAUUCUUGAAAUGGGCCCUGGGCAGCUGGAGCAUAUCCAGGGGAGAGAAACUACAAGGAAGAAGGGUUUGGAAACUGCAUCCAGUGAAGCAUGGAUGGAAAACCCAGGGAUUUGCCUGGAGAAGAGAAAACACAGAGAGGACUUGGGAGCUGAAGAAGUGCCAACGGGAAGAAGGAUGAGAGUUUGCUGUGGGUCCCGGGACAGAGCCCAGGGAGAGACAGGCGUUCGCCAAGUGCCAGCAAAGUGACUGGAUGAAAAAUGGGCCACGUGCUGGGGCCGCCCCUGCGGAUGUGAGGAAAUCAGUAGCGUGGCCACAGCUGCACAAAUCACAGCUGCCUCUCCUGGUGUCUGAUCCAGGAGACAGCCGGCCAUUGAGAGGCUGGUAAACCUCAGCUCCAAAUAACGAAAUCCUGAUAAAUGACAAGAUAUAUGCUACCUCCCUGCUGCAGAUUGAGAAGGCAGAGGCUUGUCCAUGAUCACAUAGCUAAUAGGGCCACUGUGAUCUCCACCCACCACCCUUUGCCCAAAGAGCAACAUAGCGCCAUGUGAUGGUCCC